GCCGCAUUGAUUCGUCCUUUUUGUUCAUGAUCGAAGGUCUUUUCGAGGCCAUUCAAAUUUGACGCUUUCCCUCGGUGUUCGAGCUUGGGCCCAAACUUCUCGUUACUUUGAGAAAGUCUAUUUUCUUCUGCUAGUGUUGGGUUCUCCCUUAGAGACUGAGGAUUUUUGAUAAGAGUUUUCUUCUUCAUUGAGACGAGGUCCCUUGUGUCUUAGAUGUAGUUUAUUUUUCCCUUA
rnacentral:lncRNA from 1 species